GCUGCGUUACAAAUCAGGUAGCUCUUUAGCUCAACUGGCUAGCUGUACUUCUUUGAAGCAUCUGGUCUCAGAUUCGAACCCUGCUUAGAGCAUUUCUUCUGGCAAAGAGCGGCAGAUAGGACCUCCCCCUACCUGAGGCCCCUCAUUUGGUACGAGCGGAUCGACAGGGUUUCUAGAGGAUUAACCCCGCGGGGCCCAGAAACCUCGCUAAUCCUCGUCGGCCCAUUUGUUUCGCGGGGUCUGCACAGCCGAAUCCCUUCGACCCCCUUCGUUCCCCUCCUAUCCACGCGCCUGGCCAGCCUCGUGGGCACCAUGCGGAACGGGACGCACCGAGACAGAGCGUCGCCCAGCCGCCGCCGUGCUCCUCCGCCGGUACUUCCCGAGGUGCAGGUGGCCGGCGAGCGGCGUGGUAUAGGCGGAAAGUGGUGGAGAAGCAAGAUGAUGGUGGCCACCGCCGACCCGACCUGGAGCUGGCCCUCUUUGAUGUCGUGUGCCUUGGGGUGGUCUUACUCUUGUCUCCAUGGAAAGCUGUAGCUCGACCUGGACUGGACGCCCGUGUGCUUGCAUAUAUAAUAUGCCAAUGAUUUGUGUGAUGAUCUGCUUAGGUUGAGCCUAAGCACGCGCCGCUGCGGUCGCCCUCGGAGCAGGUGAGGAGUUAUCGGAGCUGAGAAGAAGCGGGCGAGCAUCGACAUCGAUCGACCAGUCCACAGAAGUGGAAUUAUUUAUCGGAGACCCGCCACUCACCACACCGCUCCCGGAGAUGGAGUUAAAAAGCACGGAGCCGGGAAACAGAUGCUCCGCAGCUCCUCGUAUUCUUAAGGCAUCUCCAUUGCAUAGCCACUUCUGUAGACGCUUAAGGAUUAAAAAUAAAAAAGAUAUUGUCUACCGUUUGCA